rnacentral:rRNA from 1 species
AUUGAACGCUAGCGGGAUGCCUUACACAUGCAAGUCGAACGGGGUGCCGAACGGGGGAGUAAUGUAAAGGUACGUGCCCAUGCGCGAGGGAGGGCUACGCGUAAGCGUAGCUAAUACCGCAUACUCUUGGAGCGGCCGCUAUCGGAUUAGCUAGUGGGUGGGGUAACGGCUCACCAAGGCGACGACCCGUAGCUGGUUUGAGAGGACGACCAGCCACACUGGGACUGAGACACGGCCCAGACUCCUACGGGAGGCAGCAGUGGGGAAUUUUGGACAAUGGGGGAAACCCUGAUCCAGCCAUCCCGCGUGUGUGAUGAAGGCCUUCGGGUUGUAAAGUACUUUUGGCAGGGAAGCGGUACCUGCAGAAUAAGCACCGGCUAACUACGUGCCAGCAGCCGCGGUAAUUC